rnacentral:miRNA from 1 species
UACCUCCUCGGCCGGAAGGAAUCCCUUCCAAUUGAUGAGGUAUAACUUCUUGUUGACCGGAAGAAAAUCCUUCCAAUCAAUGAGAUGUAUUAAUCUCAUCAGUCAAUGAGUUUGUUAUACCUCAUUGAACGGAAGGAAUCCCUUCCGAUUGAUGAGGUA